rnacentral:tRNA from 1 species
UUCGGGAUCGUCUAAUGGCAGGACGUCACGCUCUGAACGUGGAGAUCGAGGUUCGACCCCUUGUCCCGAAA